AAAGACUCAAGCAAUUUGGGUGGAGAAGAAAUCACGAAGAAGAUGAAGACAUAAGACAUGGCUUGGACACGGCAGUUUCUUCUUCCUCACGGCUUCAAUUUUGGACGGUUUCCACAAAGGCAAAGACACCAAUAUAUAUAGUAAGUCAAGUGGCCAACAUAAGGUAAGUCGGGAUAUGGUAAGUAGGUUCGACUAGGGUUAACUUCCAAUGGAAGAAAUCAACAAGCCACAAAGAAUAUUAGCCGUCCAAUAGGUAAGGCAACGUUCGGUCGGUUCAUCCAUUAUUCGAUGUUGAAUUAUCGUUCAGUCAUUUAUGUCGACUGACAAAAUUGGUUCUCAUCAUCGCCCGGGGGUCGUUUGACAACAUAAUGUCUAACAA
rnacentral:lncRNA from 1 species